rnacentral:rRNA from 1 species
UGGCGACCGGCGCACGGGUGAGUAACACGUAUCCAACCUGCCCUUUACUCGGGGAUAGCCUUUCGAAAGAAAGAUUAAUACCCGAUAGCAUAAUGAUUCCGCAUGGUUUCAUUAUUAAAGGAUUCCGGUAAAGGAUGGGGAUGCGUUCCAUUAGGUUGUUGGUGAGGUAACGGCUCACCGAGCCUUCGAUGGAUAGGGGUUCUGAGAGGAAGGUCCCCCACAUUGGAACUGAGACACGGUCCAA